AUGGCCUACUUCAAUGAGAAAGCGAAGGAAGAUCCAUAUUUCUUCUACAGGAUAAGGUUGGACAAUGAGGACCGUGUCAGGAACAUGUAUUGGGUGGAUGGUGCUGCAAGGAGAGCCUACAAACAUUUCUGAGAUUGCAUUUCAUUCGACGCGACGUAUCUGACUAAUAUGUACAAGAUGCCAUGCACUCCGUUCAUAGGAAUAAAUAACCACAAUCAGUCGUUGCAGUUCGGCCGCGGGCUCGUUUGGAACGAAGACACGGAUGGGUACGUUUGGCUGUUCAAGACCUUCUUGGAGUGCAUGGAUGGACUUGCUCCGAUGAACAUAAUAACAGACCAGGAUUUCAGCAUGCGUGCAGGCAUAGAGGAGGUAUUUCCGUUGGCAGUGCAUAGGCACUGCAGGUGGCACAUUAUAAAGAAGGCUGAGGAGACGCUAGGACCGUUCUUUGCUGACCGUCCAGAGCUGCACUAG
rnacentral:rRNA from 1 species